rnacentral:rRNA from 1 species
CGAGCGCAGGAACCAGUUGAUCCCCUUCGGGGGUGACGCUGGUGGAAUGAGCGGCGGACGGGUGAGUAACACGUGGGCAACCUGCCUGUAAGACCGGAAUAACCCCGGGAAACCGGGGCUAAUGCCGGGUAACACCUUCUCUCGCAUGAGGGGAGGUUGAAAGAUGGCUUCUCGCUAUCGCUUACAGAUGGGCCCGCGGCGCAUUAGCUAGUUGGUGAGGUAACAGCUCACCAAGGCGACGAUGCGUAGCCGACCUGAGAGGGUGAUCGGCCACACUGGGACUGAGACACGGCCCAGACUCCUACGGGAGGCAGCAGUAGGGAAUCUUCCGCAAUGGACGAAAGUCUGACGGAGCAACGCCGCGUGAACGAUGAAGGUCUUCGGAUCGUAAAGUUCUGUUGUUAGGGAAGAACAAGUGCCGUGCGAAUAGAACGGCACCUUGACGGUACCUAACGAGGAAGCCCCGGCUAACUACGUGCCAGCAGCCGCGGUAAUACGUAGGGGGCAAGCGUUGUCCGGAAUUAUUGGGCGUAAAGCGCGCGCAGGCGGUUCCUUAAGUCUGAUGUGAAAGCCCACGGCUCAACCGUGGAGGGUCAUUGGAAACUGGGGAACUUGAGGACAGAAGAGGAGAGUGGAAUUCCACGUGUAGCGGUGAAAUGCGCAGAUAUCAU